UCGACCUGAGAUCAGAUAAGAUUACCCGCCGAAUUUAAGCAUAUUAAUAAGCGGAGGAAAAGAAAACAACUGUGAUUCCCCUAGUAAUGGCGAAUGAAACGGGAUCAGCCCAUCGCAUAACCGCAGGUCAUCUUGGCCUUGCGGGAUGUUGCGUUUGGGAUAGUCUCAUCACGAGCCGGACUGCCAGUCAAAGUCCAACUUGACAGUGGCCACUGCCCACAGAGGGUGAUAGGCCUGUAAGGCGGUGGUCCGCUCGUGCCGACUUUUCCCCAGAGUCGGGUUGCUUGGGAGUGCAGCCCAAAGUGCGCGGUAAACUCCUCGUAAGGCUAAAUACAACCCCGAGACCGAUAGCAAACAAGUACCGUGAGGGAAAAUUGAAAAGAACUUUGAAGAGAGAGUUCAAUAGUACGUGAAACUGUGUGGUGGUAAACGGAGGGGUUCUCGAAGUCUCCGUGGGGUACUCAACCUUGGUGGCGGGCAGUUGGGCCGAGUGCGAUCAGCAAUGACGUCUCGGCUCGCCGCGGCCUGCCUCUCGGGUGCAUUUCCCCCACGGUUCACGGCAGGAACCGUUGCGACCGGACCGAAGGCCCUGGGUGAAGUUGUCGCUUAUGUUUGCAGCCCGGGUGUCCUGGCUCUGGGCGUGACGGGUACUUGAGAGGACUCGUAUAGCGAGCAACGCUCU
rnacentral:rRNA from 1 species